UGGGGAAUCUUGCGCAAUGGCCGAAAGGCUGACGCAGCGACGCCGCGUGGAGGAUGACGCCCUUCGGGGUGUAAACUCCUGUUGCCCGGGACGAACGCCUGGUUCGCCAGGUCUGACGGUACCGGGUGAGGAAGCACCGGCUAACUCUGUGCCAGCAGCCGCGGUAAUACAGAGGGUGCGAGCGUUGUCCGGAAUCACUGGGCGUAAAGGGCGCGUAGGUGGUGGGGUAAGCGUGUGGUGAAAGCCCGGGGCUCAACCCCGGGUCGGCCAUGCGGACUGCCCGACUGGAGCACGGUAGAGGCCAAUGGAAUUCCGGGUGUAGCGGUGGAAUGCGUAGAGAUCCGGAAGAACACCGGUGGCGAAGGCGGUUGGCUGGGCCGUGGCUGACACUGAGGCGCGACAGCGUGGGGAGCAAACAG
rnacentral:rRNA from 1 species